rnacentral:tRNA from 1 species
GGGUGUAGCUCAGUGGUAGAGCACAUGCUUAGCAUGCAUGAGGUCCUGGGUUCAAUCCUCAGUACCUCCA